UACGGAGGAUCCGAGCGUUAUCCGGAUUUAUUGGGUUUAAAGGGUGCGUAGGCGGUCAGGUAAGUUAGAGGUGAAAGCUCGAUGCUCAACAUCGAAACUGCCUCUGAUACUGUCUGACUAGAGUGUAGUUGCGGAAGGCGGAAUGUGUGGUGUAGCGGUGAAAUGCAUAGAUAUCACGCAGAACUCCGAUUGCGAAGGCAGCUUACUAAGCCAUAACUGACACUGAAGCACGAAAGCGUGGGGAUCAAACAGG
rnacentral:rRNA from 1 species